GGGAUGGGGCUCAGCGGUACAGCACUUGCCUUGUACAUGCAAGGCCCUGGGUUCGAUCCUCAGCACCACA
rnacentral:tRNA from 1 species